rnacentral:rRNA from 1 species
UAACCUGCCCAAGAGAUCGGGAUAACACCUGGAAACAGAUGCUAAUACCGGAUAACAACAGAUGAUGCCUAUCAACUGUUUAAAAGAUGGUUCUGCUAUCACUCUUGGAUGGACCUGUGGUGCAUUAGCUAGUUGGUAGGGUAACGGCCUACCAAGGCGAUGAUGCAUAGCCGAGUUGAGAGACUGAUCGGCCACAUUGGGACUGAGACACGGCCCAAACUCCUACGGGAGGCAGCAGAG